CGAAUGCGAUACGCAUUGUGAAUUGCAGAUUUCAGUGAACCAUUAGAUUUCCGAACGCAUAUGGUGCUGUAGGGACUUCCCUGCAGCACGUCUGUUUCAGUGUCUUU
rnacentral:rRNA from 1 species